GACGAACGCUGGCGGCGUGCCUAAUACAUGCAAGUAGAACGCUGAAGAGAGGAGCUUGCUCUUCUUGGAUGAGUUGCGAACGGGUGAGUAACGCGUAGGUAACCUGCCUUGUAGCGGGGGAUAACUAUUGGAAACGAUAGCUAAUACCGCAUAACAAUAGGUGACACAUGUCAUUUAUUUGAAAGGGGCAAUUGCUCCACUACAAGAUGGACCUGCGUUGUAUUAGCUAGUAGGUGAGGUAACGGCUCACCUAGGCGACGAUACAUAGCCGACCUGAGAGGGUGAUCGGCCACACUGGGACUGAGACACGGCCCAGACUCCUACGGGAGGCAGCAGUAGGGAAUCUUCGGCAAAUGGGGGCAACCCUGACCGAGCAACGCCGCGUGAGUGAAGAAGGUUUUCGGAUCGUAAAGCUCUGUUGUAAGUCGAGAACGAGUGUGAGAGU
rnacentral:rRNA from 1 species